UCCCUGGAGGACUAGUGGUUAGGCCAUAGUGCUCUCACUCUGCAACCCUGGUUCGAUUCCUGGCCAAGGAA